rnacentral:hammerhead_ribozyme from 1 species
GUUCAGCUGACGAGUCCCAAACAGAACGAAACGCGCGUCCUGGAU